rnacentral:rRNA from 1 species
UCUUGCGCAAUGGGCGAAAGCCUGACGCAGCGACGCCGCGUGAGGGAUGAAGGCUCUCGGGUUGUAAACCUCUUUCAGCGGGGACGAAGCGAAAGUGACGGUACCCGCAGAAGAAGCCCCGGCCAACUACGUGCCAGCAGCCGCGGUAAUACGUAGGGGGCGAGCGUUGUCCGGAUUUAUUGGGCGUAAAGGGCUCGUAGGCGGCUUGGCAAGUCGGACGUGAAAGUCCAGGGCUCAACCCUGGGAUGCCGUUCGAUACUGUUUGGCUAGAGGCCGGUAGGGGGAUCUGGAAUUCCUGGUGUAGCGGUGAAAUGCGCAGAUAUCAGGAGGAACAUCGGUGGCGAAGGCGGGAUCCUGGGCCGGACCUGACGCUGAUGAGCGAAAGCUGGGGGAGCAAAC